GGGGCUGUAGCUCAGUGGUAGAGCACUUGCCUGGCAUGUGUGAGGCACUGGGUUCCAUUCUCAGCACCA
rnacentral:tRNA from 1 species